GACGAACGCUGGCGGCGUGCUUAACACAUGCAAGUCGAGCGGUAAGGCCCCUCGGGGUACGACGAGCGGCGAACGGGUAGAGUAACACGUGGGUGACCUCGCCCUCCAGCUCUGGGAGUAAAGCCUGGGAAACGUGGGUCGUAAUACCGGAUAUGACUCCAUGACGCAUGUCGUGGGGUGGAAAGCCUUGUGCGGCUGGGGAGUGGGCCCGCGGCCUAUCAGCUUGUUGGUGGGGUGANGGCCUACCAAGGCGACGACGGGUAGCCGGCCUGAGAGGGCGACCGGCCACACUGGGACUGAGACA
rnacentral:rRNA from 1 species